rnacentral:rRNA from 1 species
GAUGAACGCUAGCGGCAGGCUUAACACAUGCAAGUCGAGGGGCAGCAUAAUGAAGUAGCAAUACGGAAUUGAUGGCGACCGGCGCACGGGUGCGUAACGCGUAUGCAACCUACCCAUAACAGGGGGAUAACACUGAGAAAUUGGUACUAAUACCCCAUAACAGUUUUAGAGGCAUCUUUAAGAUUUGAAAGUUCCGGCGGUUAUGGAUGGGCAUGCGUUGUAUUAGCUAGAUGGUGAGGUAACGGCUCACCAUGGCGACGAUACAUAGGGGGACUGAGAGGUUAACCCCCCACACUGGUACUGAGACACGGACCAGACUCCUACGGGAGGCAGCAGUGAGGAAUAUUGGUCAAUGGACGCAAGUCUGAACCAGCCAUGCCGCGUGCAGGAAGACGGCUCUAUGAGUUGUAAACUGCUUUUGUACAAGGGUAAACCCUGGGACGUGUCCCAGGCUGAAAGUACUGUACGAAUAAGGAUCGGCUAACUCCGUGCCAG